UUAAAAAGUAUCUGUUCCAACUUACAAACAAAUGCAACUUAAGAACAAACCUGUGUAACUAUCUUGUUCAUAACUUGGGGACUGCCUGCAUUUCAUUCUCUUUACUGGAGAUACAGAGAUGAUUAAAAAGUUGUCACUUCUGUUUGGUAAUUAGGUGGCCUUCCAACACCUCACUUUUGCUGCCAUCUGCUGGAGCCCUGACAGUUUACAACCAUGUCAUCAAAAAUUCAUUUUUCUAAAGCCAAAUAAGCAUUGCCCAUGAACAAGUGGUGGGAGAGAUAUCAACAAACAUAGAAGGUCUUCUAGGUUUGUAGAAGGUAUUUUGGACAGCUCCCAUAAUUCCUAAUAGUUGAUAAGCUGGGAUUUCUGAGAGUUGAAGCCAAAACAACUGAAGAACCAAAGGUCAGGAACAUUGUGUGUCUGGAUCACAGCACCUACGAGAGUGGCAGAAGCAGAGUUUGAUCCAUCCUUGGAGAACAUAAAAGAAGCACUGACUCCAGUCAUGAAGCCAAGAUCCAGCUUCCAAAAAGGAAAUUAGUCAAAACAGCAAGCAAUCCAAGUUCAAACAGAAGAAUCCAGCCAAAGAUACACAAAUUGAAAGGUGAAGUGAUAGUCCAUUCCAAGAUCCAAAGGCUGAUUUCUGCAAUAACAAAGUCCAAGAUCAAUCCAAAUGGCAAAUGUCAAAGUCCAAGAGUUCACAAAUUACAAACAGCUCCUCCACACCCUCUCUAUCAGAGCUGGCUGUAACACCUUCCUUUACUCUCACCAUUGUAGUGCUACUUCUAGCCUUUUUGGAUGCCUGAUGGGGAAAUGGUGUGGAGGCUAAGAGUAUCUGACCCCAGAGUUAGCUUUGGUGCAUUUCCCUCUCUGCUGAAUGACCCUUGACAUAUCCACAGGUCCCAUAAAAAUUCAGAUCCUUGCCCAUAUUUAGAGAGAAUUGGACAGAUUGUCAGCUAUGAUUUCAAUGACAGCUGAAAGCUGGAAGAAGAGCCAGUAUCAAGAGGCUACACCAACCUCCAAGGGCCACCAACAUAUAUUCCAUAAACCUCCAGAGGUCUGCUUGACCACAUUUCAUAAAUCAAUGCCAGCAUAAAUCUGUGGUUAUAAACCUCUGGCUCCCCCAGUAAACAUAGGCCCUAUGGAUUUAUAUAAAAUUGUACUGAAUUUCUGUUUGUCAGAUUUGCUCAUGAUUGUUAAAUUAUAGUUCAAAACCUUCAUAAUUGUUUCUUUCUUUGUGAGUGAAUUUGUAAGAUACCACAUACCACAUUUCUCUUUGAACUAAAUGGUAAUGAAAAGGAGCAAAACCACAGGGUGACCAAAGGCUUAUAUUUCUUUAGAAUAGUGCAUAAAUUAAAACAUUGCAAAGACUGGAAAGAAAAAUAGUCUCUGCCAGACCAAAGUAUACAAUGCUAAUAAAGAAAAAUUGUCUCAAAUGUUUUGGGUGCAUUCUGAUUCAUUUUCACCACUAGUUCCAUGCUGAAACAACCAGGGAAGGGGGCAUAAAUGUACUACAGGAUAUAAUAGCACAAUAUCCUAGUAGGCAUUCAUAGGUCUAAGGUUCUUGGGAAAACCAAUAUUAAAGGGGUGAUAUAGUCCAGAAACUAAUAUUUAAUAUCAUUAUGGAGCACAGAACCUGUAUUUAUCCUUAUAUACACUAACAACCAAUUUACUAUCCAGUGUUCCAUUUCCACAUGUGGCCACAUGGUUAUUGCAAUCUAUUCAUUCCAUGAAGUUGUUUUUAUUGCCACCCAGUGUGUCCAGGCUUCCCAAAAUGUGCUCCAUGUUCAUUUAAUAAGUGAGCAGGAUGCCAAUGUUGGUUGAACUCAAGUGUUCCUUGCCAUUAGUAUUGCAGUGGCAAUUAUGCAGAGACUGGCUCUUCCAGAAGUUGGGCUGGCAUCAUAUAGCUAUUAAUACUGCUGGCUCAGUUAAUAGUUGAUACAGUCUCAGCAAUAGCUCUAGUAAUUUAGCUCUCUUCAGGAGAUCUGUCAAGAAAGAGUUUAAACCUUGGCCAGCUGCAUGUCCAUGGGCUAUGUACACAUUUUGAUUUACAUAAAUACUGAAUUAUAUUUGAAGAGAUU